rnacentral:tRNA from 1 species
GGUAUGUUAGCUCAGCAGGUCAGAGCAUGGUGCUAAUAAUGCUGAGGUCAUGGGUUCAAUCCCCCAAACUGGCCA